rnacentral:rRNA from 1 species
AUGAACGCUGGCGGCGUGCUUAACACAUGCAAGUCGAACGAUGAUCCCAGCUUGCUGGGGGAUUAGUGGCGAACGGGUGAGUAACACGUGAGUAACCUGCCCUUGACUCUGGGAUAAGCCUGGGAAACCGGGUCUAAUACUGGAUAUGACCUUCUGGCGCAUGCCAUGUUGGUGGAAAGCUUUAUUGCGGUUUUGGAUGGACUCGCGGCCUAUCAGCUUGUUGGUGGGGUAAUGGCCUACCAAGGCGACGACGGGUAGCCGGCCUGAGAGGGUGGACGGCCACACUGGGACUGAGACACGGCCCAGACUCCUACGGGAGGCAGCAGUGGGGAAUAUUGCACAAUGGGCGCAAGCCUGAUGCAGCGACGCCGCGUGGGGGAUGAAGGCCUUCGGGUUGUAAACCUCUUUCAGUAGGGAAGAAGCGAAAGUGACGGUACCUGCAGAAGAAGCGCCGGCUAACUACGU